AACGAACGCUGGCGGCAGGCUUAACACAUGCAAGUCGAACGCGUGCAGCAAUGCACUCGUGGCGCACGGGUGAGUAACGCGUGGAUAUCUGCCUGUUGGUUCGGAAUAACCCCGGGAAACUUGGGCUAAUACCGGAUGGUUUCUACGGGAUAAAGAUUUAUCUCCAAAAGAUUAGUCCGAGUCCGAUUGUCUAGUUGGUGAGGUAAUGGAUCACCAAGGCGACUUACGCUAGCUGGUCUGAGACGACGGUCAGCCACACUGGGACUGAGACAAGGCCCAAACUCCUACGGGAGGCAGCAGUGGUGAAGAUGGGACAAUGGGGGCAACACUGAUCCAGCCAGGCCGCGGAAGUGAUGAAGGCCUUAGGAUUGUAAAGCUCUGUUGGCGGGGACGAUGAUGACGGUACCAGCAAGAUAAGCCCCGGCUAACUCCGU
rnacentral:rRNA from 1 species